rnacentral:rRNA from 1 species
GACGAACGCUGGCGGCGUGCUUAACACAUGCAAGUCGAACGGAAAGGCCCUGCUUUUGUGGGGUGCUCGAGUGGCGAACGGGUGAGUAACACGUGAGUAACCUGCCCUUGACUUUGGGAUAACUUCAGGAAACUGGGGCUAAUACCGGAUAGGAGCUCCUGCUGCAUGGUGGGGGUUGGAAAGUUUCGGCGGUUGGGGAUGGACUCGCGGCUUAUCAGCUUGUUGGUGGGGUAGUGGCUUACCAAGGCUUUGACGGGUAGCCGGCCUGAGAGGGUGACCGGCCACAUUGGGACUGAGAUACGGCCCAGACUCCUACGGGAGGCAGCGGUGGGGAAUAUUGCACAAUGGGCGGGAGCCUGAUGCAGCAACGCCGCGUGCGGGAUGACGGCCUUCGGGUUGUAAACCGCUUUCGCCUGUGACGAAGCGUGAGUGACGGUAAUGGGUAAAGAAGCACCGGCUAACUACGUG